rnacentral:rRNA from 1 species
GUCCUUGCCGUAACGAUGUAUACUUGAUGUAGUUGGGCUCAACCCCGAUUGUGUCGAAGCUAACGCGAUAAGUAUACCGCCUGGGAGUACGCUCGCAAGGGUGAAACUCAAAGAAUUGACGGGGCCCGCACAAGCAGUGGAGCAUGUGGUUUAAUUCGAUGCAACGCGAAGAACCUUACCCAGGCUCGAAAUGUAGAGGGCGAUACCAGAGAUGGUAUUUCCGUAAGGACUUCUAUAUAGGUGCUGCAUGGCUGUCGU